GACGAACGCUGGCGGCGUGCCUAAUACAUGCAAGUUGAGCGCUGAUGGUUGGUACUUGUACCAACUGGAUGAGCAGCGAACGGGUGAGUAACGCGUGGGGAAUCUGCCUUUGAGCGGGGGACAACAUUUGGAAACGAAUGCUAAUACCGCAUAAAAACUUUAAACACAAGUUUUAAGUUUGAAAGAUGCAAUUGCAUCACUCAAAGAUGAUCCCGCGUUGUAUUAGCUAGUUGGUGAGGUAAAGGCUCACCAAGGCGAUGAUACAUAGCCGACCUGAGAGGGUGAUCGGCCACAUUGGGACUGAGACACGGCCCAAACUCCUACGGGAGGCAGCAGUAGGGAAUCUUCGGCAAUGGACGAAAGUCUGACCGAGCAACGCCGCGUGAGUGAAGAAGGUUUUCGGAUCGUAAAACUCUGUUGGUAGAGAAGAACGUUGGUGAGAGUGGAAAGCUCAUCAAGUGACGGUAACUACCCAGAAAGGGACGGCUAACUACGUG
rnacentral:rRNA from 1 species